rnacentral:rRNA from 1 species
AUACGGAGGGUGCAAGCGUUAAUCGGAAUUACUGGGCGUAAAGAGUACGUAGGUGGUUUGUUAAGUCAGAUGUGAAAGCCCCGGGCUCAACCUGCGAACUGCAUUUGAAACUGGCAAACUAGAGUAUGGUAGAGGGGGGUAGAAUUUCUAGUGUAGCGGUGAAAUGCGUAGAUAUUAGAAGGAAUACCAGUGGCGAAGGCGGCCCCCUGGACCAAUACUGACACUGAGGUACGAAAGCGUGGGUAGCGAACAGGAUUAGAAACCCUUGUAGUCC